UUGUAUUAUAUAUGCGUUCCAAAGACAGCAAGUGGCGUGAGCCGUAAGUGAAAACGCUUGCCGAGGAUGAGCUGAAUACAAAAAGGUAUUAUUGCGUCAUUCUCUUUUGGAAUGACGCUUUUAAAUUUCGCGA
rfam:Firmicutes bacterium CAG:475 genomic scaffold, scf7